rnacentral:ncRNA from 1 species
UUACCGAUGACGGGAGAGACUGGCCGCAGGAGGCCGGCGCCGAAGGAGCAACCGCCCCGGAAACUCUCAGGCCAAAGGACCGACAUCGGCUG